rnacentral:rRNA from 1 species
AUUGAACGCUGGCGGCAGGCCUAACACAUGCAAGUCGAGCGAGCGGCGUCCUGGUGAGUAAUGUAUGGGCACUUCCCGAUAGAGGGGGAUAACUACUGGAAACGGUUGCUAAUACCGCAUACUAUCGGAUAACCCAUAUGGGAUUAGCUAGUAGGUGGGGGAAAGGCUCACCGAGGCGACGAUCUCUAGCUGGGCUGAGAGGAUGAGCAGCACCACUGGGACUGAGACACGGCCCAGAAGCCUACGGAGGAAGCAGUGGGGAAUAUUGCAAAAUGGGAGAAAGCGUGAUGGAGCGAGGCCGGGAGUAUGAAGAAGGCAUGAGGGUUGUAAAGUACUUACAGCGGGGAGGCGUUACCGGAAGAAGAAGAACCGGAUAAAUCCGUGCCAGCAGCCGGGUAAUAC